AGCAGCCGCGGUAAUUCCAGCUCCAACAGCGUAUAUUAAAGUUGUUGCAGUUAAAAAGCUCGUAGUUGAACUUCGGGGUUUACCCAUUGGUCAGGCUUAAUUGUCUGUACUGGUGAGAUGAAUCUCUACCUUCUGAGGAACUUUCAUGCCAUUUAUUUGGUGUGAUGGGAAAUCAGGACUGUUACUUUGAAAAAAUUAGAGUGUUUAAAGCAGGCUAACGUCUGAAUACAUUAGCAUGGAAUAAUGAAAUAGGACGGACUGAUUCUAUUUCGUUGGUUUCUAGGAUCACCGUAAUGAUUAAUAGGGAUAGUUGGGGGCAUUAGUAUUCAAUUGUCAGAGGUGAAAUUCUUGGAUUUAUUGAAGACUAACUACUGCGAAAGCAUUUGCCAAGGAUGUUUUCAUUAAUCAAGAACGAAAGUUAGGGGAUCGAAGACGAUCAGAUACCGUCGUAGUCUUAACCAUAAACUAUGCCGACUAGGGAUCGGACGAAGUUAAUUUUAUAAUGACGCGUUCGGCACCU
rnacentral:rRNA from 1 species